rnacentral:lncRNA from 1 species
CAUUUAUUUCUUGUGCAAAUGCCAGCGCAUUGAGAUCAAUGUAUUUUGUAACAGAGCGGAGGUAAAGCUGUUUUGAGGAAAAUUCACUUGUAGCUCGUUUUCUACAUGACUACGAAUGAAAAGAGGCGUCAGUUGUGUAGUAAAAAUGUUUUGCUUGUGCUUUAUUGAUUCUGAAAAGAAUAUCUUGCCAACUUUGGCAAACUUAUUACUUCCUGUGUAUAAUUAGGGUUGGAGCAAACUUCUGCAGGACACUGAUAAAAACACUAUAAUAUAAAUAAAAAAUAUAGAAAAAAUAAAAAUAAAAUUGUGGACACCCAGCUCAAUGAAUUACAGUAUAUUGACAAUUUGAAUCCAACCAUGUCAUGUUAACAAAUUAAAAAGUCAGACAUUUAUUUCUUGUGCAAUUUUAACCCAAAUAAUUGUAUUAUUAUUAUUAUUAUUAUUAUUAUUAUUUUUAAAUAUGAUAUUUUACAUUCCUCAAUAAUUGAAAAACAAUUGAUUUACUUUUACGAAAUUGAAAAUCACUAACAAGACUGUUAUCUUUUAAUGUUUGUUAAUUUUAAUAUUCUCAUUUGCUACAUAAAAUCAUUUAAAAAAAAAAAAAAAACAAAAACUAUUUAAGUUUAUACUACUAACUAGUGUAAUACUAUUUUUUUUAAGUUUUUUUUUUCUUAGAUCAACUAGUGUAGAUCUAUUUUUUUUUUUUGUCUGUGAUUUCAAGGGUCAUCUGUUUUUGUGCCAUCUACUUGUUUAGAAGAAUGUAAAACCAAUGUUUUCCGAACCAUGUGCUUUUAGCCCCAUUGUACCCUAUUCUAAUAUGUCUACAUUUAAGUUAUAUUAAAGUGCAUUUAACAUAAGAACUUGUUUUCUUUUUUUAUUAGGACUUUAAUUUCGGUUUGGAGGCCAUUAAGCCAAUCACAACAUCGACUGGAACAUCUGCACAAUGAAGUAUAAAACAGCUUUCAUGCUAAUGCUCAUGUCAGAAUUGGCAUUCACUAUACUGACAUUGUCAACUAGCCACCAUGUGGCAGUUAUUUUGGGGGAGCGUGCCAUUCUCCCUUGUAAAAACACAUGUACUGGACCUUUAACUUGGACAUUUACUGGUGGUAGGAAGAAACUGGAGGUUUUGAAAUGUGAUAAAGAAAGUUGUACCGAAGGAGGUGGCUUUAAGACCAGAUUGAGCCUUUCCCCUGAAAAGACCAAGAAUGGAGACCUGUCUCUUACAUUAAAUCAUGCUUUGUACAAUGACAAGGGAUGGUACGAGGCCAGUUGCGGUUCAACAUUUCUCUGCAAUUCAUUUUUAGAAGUUCUGUUCCCUGUAACAGUGAAUGUGUCAGUUGGGGAGGACGUGACACUACCUUGCUAUGCACAUACUGACAAGGAGGUUGCUGACGAUGAUGUGAACAUCCUGUGGAAAAGGGGUGACCAAAUAGCUGUGCAAGUUCAAAAUGGGAUUACAAACUAUGGUUCAGGUUAUAUAGAGAGGGCCUCUCUUUCAGUAAGUGGUUAUAAAGAUGGAGACCUUUCCCUUUCAAUACGCAGAGCCACCACAUUAGACAAAGGAUUAUACCUAUGUUAUCACAGCACGGAAGAGGAAAAUGGAUACCCAGGAGCUGUUGUUCUCAACAUUGAAGCUUAUCAGAGCUUUCAAGAAAAAACAUCUGGCGAUUUUCUUACCCUGGAUUUGUUUGUCUCCGACCCAGUAACAAUAAGCUUCACCAGUGCUUAUACAACAGAGAUUCUGCUCUGCAGUGUAGAGAGAAGCAUCGCUACAUGUAGUCCUGACUACACUCACAGAGUGUCUAUCGUGGAUUCCUUCCUUGUGCUGCGUGAAUUAACCGCAUCUGAUACUGGAAUAUUUACAGUGAAAGACAAGAUGGAUGUAAUGAUUGCAAUUUACAACGUUGCUGUGAAGAGUCUGGAGACUUGUGAGAUUUGGAGAUCUAACAGUUUUAUUCUGAUACCAAUAAGUGGUUUCCUUCUCAUUUGCACUGGUCUGUACAUUUGGACUAAAAUCAGACAAUGA